ensembl:snoRNA small nucleolar RNA SNORD61
GCGAUGAUGAUUUAUUUGGUUUUGAUCAGUAAUGAGAUGAAACUACACGACCAAUUCCUCUAAGAAGUUCUGAGCUC